UACGUAGGAGACGAGCGUUGUCCGGAGUUACUGGGCGUAAAGGGUGCGCAGGUGGCGGCGCGCGUGGGGGGUGAAAUCGCCCGGCUUAACUGGGCGGGGGCCUUCCAGACGGCGUGGCUUGAGCAGCGGAGGGGGACGUGGAAUUCCGGGUGGAGCGGUGAAAUGCGUAGAGAUCCGGAGGAACACCGACGGCGCAGGCAGCGUUCUGGCCGCUUGCUGACACUGAGGCACGAAAGCUGGGGGAGCAAACAGG
rnacentral:rRNA from 1 species